GCAAGUCGAACGAGAACGGGUAUUAGUUUACUACUACUGUCAGCUAAGUCGCGCACGGGUGAGUAAUAUAUAGAUAACGUGCCCUAGAGAAGAGGAUAACAUUUGGAAACUAAUGCUACGACUCUAUAUGCCUUUAUCCCAUAAGGGAGCGAGGGAAAUAUUUAUAGCUCUAGGAUCGGCCUGUACGGUAUCAGUUAGUUGGUGAGGUAAUGGCUCACCAAGACAAUGACACCUAGCUGGUUUGAGAGGAUGAUC
rnacentral:rRNA from 1 species